rnacentral:lncRNA from 1 species
AGAGGGCAAAGGGCGAGGUCCAACGGCCCAGCCCCAGCAGGGGACUCUCGAGCUUCGGGAUUCCGCCUACCCGGUAGCGGCUGUUUAGACCCAGACCGGCCCCUGCGCGAUAUGAGCACCGCUCAGGACUGCAGCUGUUGGGCACCAGCAGCCAGGUCUGCAGGCUCCGCGAAGCCUGGCCCGGACCGUAGCUUCUGCAAGCAGUCCAGGUGUAUCCUGGGGUCACUGGAGGGCAGAGCCUGCUCAGAGCGAGUACAGAAGCAGCCCAGGUCUUCCCAGCACCAGGUUCACUGGAAGUGCCAGGCCACCACCUCCUUCAUGCUCCUCUGUGAUCACCUCUCCAAGUCCCGGUGUCAGGAGCCUUCUCUGUGGCCGCCCUGGAGAGACUUGAGCCUGGGACGUGACGUGCUGGGCUGUGAAGCUUUCUGAGAAGGGAAACCUGUGGCCUGACCUGCCUGAAUGCUGCACCCAACCUCAUCUCUUCCUGGGAGGCAGGCUCUCUUCGCUUGUUUUUACAAAUUUGAAACCAACAACUGUCAGCAUUGACACCAUCAGGCCUUUCUCUUCUAAUUUAACCUUGCAGCCAACCACACGGCUAUCUGUGCGGGAUCUCUCCCCAAGCUCAAGGACAUGAGAUGCGGAUCAGGCCCAAGAGGCUGGAUGCCAAACCUAUCCUCUCCAUGUGAAGCACCAACUUGGGGGUGUCAACUAAAAAUAUGAGACCCGUAAACUUGGAAAGGAAGACUUUAUUUCUUGAGAAGGGUUGCAAACUGCAGGCUGGGAAGUGGCACCUCCAGCUGAGACCACAAACAGUGGACUUUCUCAAACUGGGGUAUUGACCUCUGAUGAACCGCCAUGCAAACCCGUGCCUUUCAACAUAAAAAGAAGCCCUUCGAGGUGCUCACCUUCAAGCUUGCUAGAGGAGGAGGAAGAGCAGGUUGAGUUUGACAUAACUAGAAUGGGUUGAGCCUUUCCAGCAGAGUAAGGUUCUUUCAUGGUGGACAGUGGCCACCCACUGCCAUUUCUACAAGAAGAUUUUGCUUCUUAGGCACUGAGUUCCUGGUUCUUUCACUAGAGAAAAAUGAGUAGGUUGGCAAUCCAGUACUUCCAUCUUCUGUGAAGACCUGGGCAGGCAACGGGGGCUUGGGGGCGGGGGCAGGGACCAAAGACAAGGCUGCCAUUUGCUGUGCCCACCACAGAGGGACAUUUACUCCACCUGAAGCACAAGUAUUUUCUCAGUGAUGUUGGCUCCUACAAAGUCAAAAGGGGUAGGCUCCCUGGCUUACGCUCCAGGAGUUUGGACUGAAAGGGACACUAAAAGUGUCUUCCUCUAAGUUUAUGAUGUUGCCCUCCUCUGGCUACAACAGUGCUCUGGCCAUAAGCAUCCCAGGUUCUCUGAAUGAUGGUGGGUAUGGAAAUGUUCCCAAACACAGGUAUGGCGGUGUCCCCUCCCACUGUACCAAUCUAUGCCCAGGGCUGGAAGGUCCGUGGUGCUCUGAACUGGAUUCAUAAACAGUAGCAUCUCCAACCACAA